UUGAAUUGGCAUGCACUUUUCACUUGUCGGCACAUAGUUCAAGUCUGCACACAUGGAUGUAUGCCUACAGUUUGUUCAAUUCAUACACCACAUUCAUUAUUGUGUUGUUUUAGAUUCCGUCAUCCAGCCAAAGUGAUCGACAUCCACUGCGAGAAAUUCACACACGUAUCACAGUGCUUGAGACGUGUUUGCUACAACAUGGCUUUAGUUUACCAGACCCUCAUCCUAUUGGGGAUGUCGAGAAUACCCGCAUAGAACAGCUCGAUAAGAGGGUGUCGACAAUAGAGAAGGUCCUACGAGAUAAGGGCCUUCUGGUUGAUGACAAACCUGGUGAGCAUGCUACAGUUCCUCCUGAGUUGAUCCACCUAUUCACGACGAUGCUCUUCAGAAAGAUCAUAUGCAGCAUAGUGCUGAUUCGGUGGAGGUUAUUUCGUCCACUGAUGCUGAAGCUACAAAGAAAGCUGGAGCUCAGAGCUCAUAUUUGUCCUCCUUAUGCAAGCGCGUGAAGCUGGGAGCACGCGAGCGCAAGCCAUCGGAGAAAGCGAAGGCCAUAUCACACCAGCCAAAGACUUAUAAAAGGGGUAAAAAAAGGGUCAAAGUUGCCCAAAUAGGUGAGGUUUGUACGGGAAUUACUAUUGUUUCCGAGGAUUCGCCCGCUCGGUCAACCAACAUAUUCGACCCACCGACAAGUUCAUUAAUGAAGCUCCAAAAAUCUGCUCCAACAUGGGAGGAAACCUCUCCCCCGGGAGCGGUAUAGAAUUGUUGUCUCGUCCAUAUGUGUUUAUUUAUCCAUAUUGAAUUUGCUAAGUCUAUACAGUUAAGUUUCCUAACCAAAAUAUCUGUCGUCACCAUUUAUUGAACUUAGCAUAUAGUGUCGUCCACUAAAGUUAACGAUGUUCAGAGAGUGGCACUGAAAUGUAGCUUUCAUGGGAAGGGGACAAGUAUACUCCCUAUUUGCUAUGAAGAAGCUAUUAAAUUCUUCCUUGAAGAACAUGAGUUUGGGGAUAUAAUAUGGGAGGACGAAGAUCGUACCAAACCUGCAUGCAGCCCUGAUGCCUUAGUGCAGCUCCUGCAUGACAAGGCACUACGGAGUGACGUAUGCUCCUACAAUGAACUACUACUGAAAAUUAUAAUUUGGUACUGAGUGCGUACUUUUUUUAUUGCGUACAGGUAAUCAAUGUGUACUUUCGCAUUUUAGAGCUUCUGCCUCGUGCGUAUAAUGAGAUUAUUGACAAUAUGUAUUUAUAUUUGCGCUGCGAGAUCCAGGUUUUGAAUUACUGCUCAUGAUGUCUCGUUCUUACAUUUUUCCAAUUGAAAUUCAGCGUGCCAACGGGGCUGUAACAAAUAAAUUGUAUGCAGGCUGCCGUGCUCCAGCAUCUACCAUUGGAUUACCUCUCAAUUACCACUGAUGUUACCAAAAGAAUCAUAGAGUCAUUGGUGCCCAGUAUUCAAACAUGGCUUCGGGAAUUCAGAUGUGCCGAUCUUCAAAAGUGUAGAUAUCUCUUCAUUCUGAUGAAUACGGGAUGGCAUUGGUAUCUACUUUCUCUGGACUUGAAGGACCAGCGUUUCGAAUGCUACAACUCCUUGUGAAGUUUCGACGUUGGGGUGGACGCUGUUAGAUAUGCAUCUUUUGUGAGAUCGUGGCUAAACGACUAUGUCGGAUUUCGUAUCCCUGAAUUAGCAUAUUCUGAAAUUCGACAAUGUGCACAACAACGAAAUGAUAGUGUUGACUGCGGGGCAUACAUGCUUAUGUUUGCAGAGGGACUUACCCGAGGCAGCACGAGACCAUUGCAGGAAGAAUUGAAGGAUCCAUCUUUAUACAGGAGCUGGGCUGCAGGGAGUAUUCUAUUACAUUCCGGGAGCGUUGCCAGUGUUAGGUUUAGGUCAAUGUACCCUGCGAAGACUUGUAUAGAGAAAUCGUAGACUAUGUGUUGCAUCACAUGAAUGCAAAUUAGUUAUAAAACUUGAUUGUAAAUGUGUUCUAAAGGAUGUUUGUCCAACUGUAAUUUUCUUGUUCUGUGUAAUAUAACAUUUUCAUAGAUAAUAUCAUUAUUCCCU